rnacentral:rRNA from 1 species
GAUGAACGCUGACAGAAUGCUUAACACAUGCAAGUCUUUGGCGAAGCUGUGCUUGCACAGCCUAGCCAAGGCGGACGGGUGAGUAACGCGUAAGGGACUUGCCCUGCAGUCAGGGAUAGCAGACGGAAACGACUGAUAAGACCUGGUAAAGUCAGGCGGACUCAUGUCCAGCCUGAUGAAAAGGAAUGCUGCAGGAGAGCCUUGCGUCCUAUUAGCUUGUUGGUGGGGUAACGGCCCACCAAGGCGAUGGUAGGUAGCCGGCCUGAGAGGGUGGACGGCCACAAGGGGACUGAGAUACGGCCCUUACUCCUACGGGAGGCAGCAGUGGGGAAUAUUGGACAAUGGGGGCAACCCUGAUCCAGCAAUUCUGUGUGCACGAUGAAGGUCUUCGGAUUGUAAAGUGCUUUCAGCAGGGAAGAAAAAAAGACGGUACCGCAG